UUUCAAUCCACUCAUUUUCGCACAUGAACGAACAAGGCUACCCUCUUCACGCAAGUGGGUACAAGCUCAUAUGCCCAAUUGGGAGCGGCGCGUUGAGCAGCCUCGUAUGGCAGGCCAUCAUUCCGUCCCGGGACAAUCAGGAAGUCGCCAUAAAAAUAGUUGAAUUAGAAGAGCACAGCAGGGAAAGGUUUGACAAUAUCAGGAAAGAAGUCCAAAUGUUGGGCCGGAGUCGCCACGAGAAUAUCGUAGAAUACUAUUGCUCGUUCGUCGAGGACACACGACUGUGGUUGGUCAUGAAGAGGUUGGCCGCUUCCUGUUUGGAUAUCUUGAAGGACCGAUACGUGAAUGGAAUCGAAGACGAACGGUUGAUCCGAAUCAUUCUCCGGGGUGCCCUUCAGGGUCUCGCCUAUUUACACUCUCACCAUCAGCUCCAUCGAGAUAUCAAAAGCGCCAACAUCCUGCUUUCCGAAAGCGGAGAGGUUCAGCUGGUCGACUUCGGCGUGUCGACCGCUCUUGACGAAUACCACCAAAAGCGUACUACGUUCGUAGGAACGGUCUGUUACAUGGCCCCCGAAGUUUUGGACCCCUCAGAAACUAACGGGUAUGACACCAAAGCCGAUUCUUGGAGUCUCGGCAUAACUGCCAUUGAACUUGCAUACGGCCGUCCUCCGUACGCCCUCAAUCAGCCCAUGAAAGUGAUCAUGUUGCUUAUGAAGCACCCGUCGCCUUCGCUUCUCGUGCCCGAACACGAAUUUAAAAAUUUGCAAAGGUCUACUCGAAACUUUUCCGCUGAGUUUCAGGACUUUGUUAACCAGUGUCUUCAAAAGGACCCCUCUCGACGCCCCACAGCCAAGCAGCUGUUGAAGCAUCCGUUUCUGGGCAAAGUCCAAGACCCAGACGCCGCCCAGGCGUAUCUUGCCAAGCAAUUACUUUUGUCGGAUUACAAAAAGCAUCGCUCUGCCGAACAAAGGUCGCGUCAAGAGAAUCGCUCCAGAAGGUCCGACCAUAUCCCGCCCCUUCGAAUUUCCUCAUUGGAAGAAGAAGAAGAGAUGGAGUGGGAUUUCGAGUGAGCGUCGCCGAACUGCUCUGUCGAAGCGUAUGUAUCCUCUGUAUACAAGGGCGUGCCUGCAUAUAGGCGUGUUUCUUUUGCUGUCGUCUACUUCGAGCGGGAGUUCUUUAUAUUUUGAGGUUACUGGCGCUCGAAGGGGCUCCACGUCGACGAGGGACGUCUGGGGCGUCCCUCAGGGAAUUCGGUACAACAAAAGAUGUGCUAAUAAUAGCAGCGAAAAUUGACAGUGCGUUGUGUGACGAGACGGACCUAUCAGAGAUGUCUAGAGGUUUUGUGGAAGGCAGGCGCGAAUGCUCGGAACGUGGAUCCCCUGCCUGCGGUUCGCGCGCGCCAGAGACUCUAGGCGUGCGAGAGGGAGAGAGGUGACGUGAGCAGAAGAGCGCCGAGCGCCGUUCGCAGAGGUGGGCGAUGAACUAUUGUAUACACGUGUGUGUGUGUGGCAGGGUGAGGUCAUUUUGUCGUUGACAGGCGCCAGAGGAAGGUGUCUCUUUCGCAAAUUUGGAGGUGAUGUGGAGCCUGCGUGCGCUGCGCGGGAGGAAGAAGCCGAGGUACGUGCGAGAGGUUGCGUAUGUACUAUGCGUACUAGAGGAGCUAAUAGCAGAGAGGGUUGAUGAGCAUCGGGUUGAGAGGGGUGUCGUCGUUCGGUUUUGACUAUGAGGUGUUGUACGAGUCCAGGAGGAGUAGGGCGAGGGUGGGCGUGAUAAGGACGUCUAAUGGGUUGAUAGAGACGCCUGCGUUUGUGCCGGUGGCGACGACGGGCGCGUUGAAGUGUGUGGAUUUGGCGUUGGCAUCGAGGGAGGUGUUGGAGAUGGGGAUGGUAUUUGUGAACACGUAUCAUUUGAUGGUGCAUCCUGGAGUGGACUUGGUGAAGAGAGCGGGUGGGUUGCACGCGUUCAUAGGGUACGACGGUCCAUUGAUUACAGAUUCCGGUGGGUAUCAAGUGUUUUCUAUGGCGUCGACUGGUCCUCAGGAUGAAUUAAAAGGGAAGUCGGUGAGUAAGUGGAGAAAUCCUUGUGCGGGGGGGGCAAAUAGAGGGUUGGUGUUAAAGAUAGACGAAGAGGGUGUUACGUUUCGGAGCUACAGAAAUGGAGAGCUCUUAGAAUUGACUCCAGAGAUCAGUGUGAAAGCGCAAAAAAGCAUUGGUGCCAAUAUUAUCUUGCCGUUGGAUAUUUUGUUGCCCAAUUCGGCGGAUUUUGAAACGCUUAUUGAUUGUUUUCACCGAACCCACCGAUGGGAAUCCCGGUCGCUAGAGGAGCAUUUGAAGGACCAGGGGCAUCAGGUGAUGUACGCUAUUAUUCACGGGGGUACGGACGUGCGUUUGAGAGAGGCGAGUUUAGAGUAUCUUUCUCGGCGCCCUUUUCAGGGGUUUGCUAUUGGCGGGAGUCUUGGAAAAAAUCGGCUGGAAAUGUACGAUUUGCUUUCGCAUUUAUGUCCCAAGAUACCCAGAUCGUUACCUGUACACCUUCUGGGGAUUGGAGACGUUCCUUCUAUACUGCGGGGCGUCGAACUUGGCAUUGACACGUUCGAUUCGGCCUAUCCUACUCGUGCUGGGCGACAUGGCAGUUGGCUCACUGCAGAUGGAUCUUUUGUCAAUUUGAAGGGACAGAGUUUUGCAGAGCGAGUUCAAAGUCCACCAGUUGAUUUGUGCGAUUGUCCCGUGUGUCGUUGUCACUCGGGUGCCUACGUUCACCAUCUGUACAAGGCGAAGGAGCCAGUCGCUUCGCAGCUCGGAUCGAUACACAAUCUCUACCGCAUGACGAGGCUCAUGAAGGAGAUCAGGGAAAGGAUACUGAGUGGCGCGAUGUAGGUUUUGGAGGGGCAUCUGGGCGGCGACCGCCUGUCGCAAAUGCGCGUGGGGUUUUUUUCGGAUUGCCAAGAAGGGAGAAAAGAGGAUUGCAGGUAGACGGAUCGUCGUGUGUUUUGCUUUUUUUUUUUAGUUCGCUCAGUUCGAAAAAUGUACAGUUUUGUUUUUUCUGCUGAGGGGCUACAGCGAUAUGAUAUACUGUUUUUACAUCUUCGACAGGAAGAAGAACUGCUUGUACUAUCGAGAGUGGCAGCGGGAGACCGUACCGCGAAAAACUCGCCGACAGGAGCAAGACUUGGUUUUUGGUUUUUUGAUGGCGCUAAAAAGCUUUGUUGAGAAGACGUCACCGGUGGCGUAUGCGGAGCGCGCGUGUGUGGAUAUGAGAGGUUGCGUUUUAGGGUUUUGACACUCUACAUUCUUGCCGCGUGAAACAGACAAAAUACGUUUUAUUCGUACACGACGACGACGUACAAGUUGCACUAUUUUGAGCCAGCGACGGGGCUGAAGUUCGCGAUGAUGACGGGUCCUGAGGUGCCGAACUUGCAGUUGGAGCUGUCGAAGAUUUACAAGGACAUUUACGUGGAGUACGUGAUGAAGAAUCCGGUGUACAAGGUGGGAGAGAAGAUAGACUGUUAUCGGUUCGUGGAGGAGCUAGAGAGCUACGUGAAGAGGCACUCCGCGUAUACCACGAGCAAGGGUGAUUGGGCGACGGGUGCGGAGUUGGGCGAGAGGUGAUGGACGGGUGGAGUGAGGGGGUGUGCGCUACACACAGGGCGUUGUGUGUGUGUGUGUGUGUGUGUUUUUUUUUUUCGGGGAAGAAGGGAGAGACAGUUGGCAUGCGGGGGGUUUUAUUUUUAGUAUAAGCGUUGCAUCCUCGAGGCGUUGGUGACGGUGCAGCAACCGCGUGAUGUGUUAGAGGGUUUUUUUUGGACGAGGUGCUUGAGAGAGGGUGUUGCGUCGCGCAGGAUGU